rnacentral:lncRNA from 1 species
AAAUGUGUAUGAAGGUUUAAACAAUGGGUUUGGAGGAUGGAGAUAGGAGUGAGUGGAGUGGGUGGUUGGACGAGUAGUAAGGCUUAGAGAGAUGGUAGUGGGUUUGGAAUAGGUGCAGGGGAAGAUAAUGAAUGAAGAUGAAUGAAGAGAGCGUGAGAUAGAAGAUGGAUGUGAUGGACAAGAAGGUGGCCACGUGCCUGGAGCUUCAUGUAUAUGGGUAUGAAAGAGUUUGAAGAGAGAGAAAAGGUGGUAAUAUGGAAUGGGUUUGGUGGGUGCAAGCAUGAGGCAUGAAGAUGAGGGUUAGUAUGGAAGUGUGGGUAUGAUGAGCGAAAGAGAGAGAUGAGAUGAGUGCAUGGUGGUGUAGAAAGAAAGGUGAUCAUACAAAUGGGCAUAGGUAUGGAGGUAUAAUGGGUAUAGGGUCAUGGGUAUGCUAAAUGGGCAAAAAGGGUAUAAGCCCGAAAUUAAUGGAGUAGGUAGUGGGAGAUAAUAGGAAAUGGGUGUUCAUGGGGAUCCUCUGCGUACAUGGUGGGAAAGGAAACAGUGAAGAGUACCCACAGCCAACUGAACUUUCAUUAUUCCUCUCAUUUUAACAUAAGCUUGACCACAAUAUUUCUGAACUCUCUCUUAGGACUCAUACUUCCGAUGGCUAUUUUGUGGUCUACAAUGCCAAUGGUGAUAUUUUCCGUCUUUCAAAGCCGAAAAGAGGUAAGUGACCCUCAUCAAUCGAACAACUCACUUUCUUAUAUAUUCAGGCAACAACUAGAGCAACUCCAGAUCUAUGAAUAGUAUGGGCCCAAGAAUCUGCUUAACAGAAUGCUCCAAAUCUUCAACAAGUGUAAAUCAGUUGGAUACGAUUGCACAUUGUGUUGUAGCGUGAACAACAGAGAUGGCAAAAGGACUUCAUUGUCAUGACCGAAAAAGCGUCAACUUCUUUCUCAUUGACUGGCAUAAUAUCCUCAGUAACAAACUGAUCCAGAUCAAAUAUAAAUGCAGUAUUCCCACAAGAUACAACCGGAACAGGACCUUGCUUCUUUUCCAUCUAAGAUCUUUGCGCAACCCAGAUCAUCUGGAGGAGUUUUGUUCAUCCUCAACACUCACGAGCUAUGAUCUGUGCUAUCACCACCUGGCUCUCUCAAAUAGGGAUGUACAACCUGAUGUAUAACAAGGUAGGAUGCCGAAAACAGGGGAAUGGCAAAACCAAAUAGAAAACAAACCAGUGAAACAAAUAAAACAACCAAAGCCAUGUUUCAUGUUUAGAUCAACAGGUUUGGCUGUAGGUGAGUGAACUAGAAUGCACCUAAAGAGAUAAGAACAAGACAAAACUCCUAUAUGUGGCAUAGCGAAAACUAAAACAGAGCUGAGCCAUUCUCAAAUCAUCAUAAGGAAAAUAGGCAAGAUAGCCGCCAAGGAAAUCCGAGAACCAAGCAGGAACCAUAAGAUAGAACGUAUACCCAAACAAAUCACAGACAAUAUCAAGCAAAAGGAAUGAAACUACAUACUGAUAAAGAAUAUGAAGGAUCCAUGGCAGUCAUACCUCGCUUUUCUUCCCCCUCAAGCUCUCUGUUCUCUCUGGAUAUCUUAGCCAAAACUCCUCCUAGUUUUCCCUCUGAGCUCUCCUCAAGCUCCCAGAAAAACUCUCCCUCAGGCUCCUCCGGAAUCUCUCCUUUUUCUCUCCUCCUCUCUCAAUAUCCAGCUUGCUCCUUGCAAAAUCAGCACCCUCUCUCCAAAAACAUGCUCUGUUUUUCUUAGCUUCUCCCUGGUCCCUGCAUCCCCUAAAAAUCUCCUUUUCUCCUUUUUCUUUUCUCUCGGAUUUGCCCUUCUAACCAUAUCUGCAGAGACAGCCCCCUUCAUGCAGCUGGCAACCUUCCCAUAACAGAAAAAUACGCUCCCCUGAUUCCAGAAGAUUCUUUCCCUUUACAGGUGUCUUCCCCGGAUUAGUCCAUCAAUUCCACUAUUUUGAUCCCAUAUUGACUAAUUCGGGAGUGACACGUGGCCAGAAUGAGCUGCAUGAAAUAGCACCCAAAUAGGGGUCUACAAAUAUGUCCCUCUUUGGUAGAGUUCACGAGUGUAAAGAAUAUGAACACUGGAGUGAAAAGCAAGUGUGAAUAGUGAGUGCAAUGAAGUGAACUCUACUGAAGAACAAAGGAGACCCCCAAAAGGACACCAGUGGAACCCAAACUCACUCAGGCCAACAGAAUGAACAAUGAGGCUCUAAUCCUAAGAGAGAAAAAUGUCACAAAAUGCCUCUGAAGCCACACUAAGGAUCCAAGCUCCCUCUAAGACAUCUCCAAAAGUGACUCGAAGAUCAAUGUCAAAGAUGAGUAACGGUCGAACCACCCUGGAGUACAAUAAAGAAUGUGCCCGAAGGAGACUGCCCUAUGUGAACUAUACGAGAAUGCCAAGUGUAGGGUGCCCAACAACAUGAUCGAAAUAUGCGUCACGGAUCUCAAAAGACUGUGUCAUGUGUAGUGGAAAGGGAAGUCUAAAAGAGCAAUGAUGAAUAGGCGAUAAGCAUCAAGUAACCAGGUGAGGAGAAUGGCUCUGAACGCCUAAAAUGGAAAUGUGAUCCUGAAUGUCAUACUGAAGCAAAGACCUGGACGCCAAACUGACUUGAUAGGAAGAAUGAAUGACCGAUCUAUAUGGGUGCGGUCCCGACUCAAACUAAACACAAUCUGAUAGGGAAAUGACCGAUCGAUAUGGGUGCGGCCCCGACUCAAACUGAACUGAUAAGAAGAUGGCCGAUUUAUAUAGGUGCGGCCCUAGAAACUAAACUGACAUGACAAGGAGAUGGUCGAUCGAUAUAGGUGCGGCCCCGACUCAAACUGACACGAUAAUGACCGAUCGUAUAGGUGCGGUCCCAGAAACUGAACUGACAUGACAAGCAGAUGACCGAUCGAUAUAGGUGCAGUCCCAGAAACUGAACUGACAUGACAAAGAGAUGACCGAUCGAUAUAGGUGCGGUCCCGACUCAAACUGACACGAUAAUGACCGAUCGUAUAGGUGCGGUCCUGGAAACUGAACUAACAUGACAAAGAGAUGGUCGAUCGUAUAGGUGCGGCCUCGACUCAAACUGACACGAUAAUGACCGAUCGUAUAGGUGCGGUCCCAGAAACUGAACUGCCAUGACAAAGAGAUGGUCGAUCGUAUAGGUGCGGCCUCGACUCAAACUGACACGAUGAUGACCGAUCGUAUAGGUGCGGUCCCAAAAACUGAAUUGACAUGACAAAGAGAUGGUCGAUCGUAUAGGUGUGGCCUCGACUCAAACUGGCACGAUAAUGACCGAUCGUAUAGGUGCGGUCCCAGAAACUGAACUAACAUGACAAAGAGAUGGUCGAUCGUAUAGGUGCGGCCCCGACUCAAACUGACACGAUGAUGACCGAUCGUAUAGGUGCGGCCUCGACUCAAACUGACACGAUGAUGACCGAUCGUAUAGGUGCGGUCCUAGAAACUGAACUAUCAUGACAAAGAGAUGGUCGAUCAUAUAGGUGCGGCCCCGACUCAAACUGACACGAUGAUGACCGAUCGUAUAGGUGCGGUCCCAGAAACUGAACUGACAUGACAAAGAGAUGGCUGAUCGUAUAGGUGCGGCCUCGACUCAAACUGGCACGAUAAUGACCGAUCGUAUAGGUGUGGUCCCAGAAACUGAACUGACAUGACAAAGAGAUGGCCGAUCGUAUAGGUGCGGCCCCGACUCAAACUGACACGAUGAUGACCGAUCGUAUAGGUGCGGUCCCAGAAACUGAACUGUCAUGACAAAGAGAUGGUCGAUCGUAUAGGUGCGGCCCCGACUCAAACUGACACGAUGAUGACCGAUCGUAUAGGUGCGGUCCCAGAAACUGAACUGACAUGACAAAGAGAUGGCCGAUCGUAUAGGUGCUGCCCCGACUCAAACUGACACGAUGAUGACCGAUCGUAUAGGUGCGGUCUCAGAAACUGAACUGACAUGACAAAGAUAUGGUCGAUCGUAUAGGUGCGGCCUCGACUCAAACUGACACGAUGAUGACCGAUCGUAUAGGUGCGGUCCCAGAAACUGAACUGUCAUGACAAAGAGAUGGUCGAUCAUAUAGGUACGGUCCCAGAAACUGAACUGACAUGACAGGAAGAUGGCCGAUCGUAUAGGUGCGGUCCCGACUCAAACUGACAUGAUAAUGACCGAUCGAUAUAGGUGCGGUCCCGACUCAAAGUGAACUGAUAAGAAGAUGGCCGAUCGAUAUAGGUGCGGCCCCGACUCAAACUGACACGAUAAUGACCGAUCGUAUAGGUGCGGUCCCAGAAACUGAACUGUCAUGACAAAGAGAUGGCCGAUCGUAUAGGUGCGGCCUCGACUCAAACUGACACGAUAAUGACCGAUCGUAUAGGUGCGGUCCCAGAAACUGAACUGUCAUGACAAAGAGAUGGUCGAUCGUAUAGGUGCGGUCCCAGAAACUGAACUGACAUGACAGGAAGAUGGCCGAUCGUAUAGGUGCGGUCCCGACCCAAACUGACACGAUAAUGACCGAUCGAUAUAGGUGCGGUCCCGACUCGAACUGAACUGAUAAGAAGAUGGCCGAUCGAUAUAGGUGCGGCCCUGACUCAAACUGACACGAUAAUGACCGAUCGUAUAGGUGCGGUCCCAGAAACUGAAUUGACAUGACAAAGAAAUGACUGAUCGUAUAGGUGUGGUCCCGACUCAAACUGACACGAUAAUGACCGAUCGAUAUAGGUGUGGUCCCGACUCGAACUGAACUGAUAAGAAGAUGGCCGAUCGAUAUAGGUGCGGCCCCGACUCAAACUGACACGAUAAGAUGAUGAAUGACCUGAUCAAGUGACCCAAAACCACCACAAUUCUCCAUGCAAUGACGUGUGAAAAACCACCACUCAAGGUGAAACAAGGAUAAUGUCGAGUAAUCAAUGAGGAAAGGAAAAGACAGAGAACGAAUAUCACAAGUGGUGGUAUGUGAUAUCGAAAAAUAGUGAUGAAAUGAUGUCCAAGCGGAAAAUAUCACAGUGAAGAGUGAAGAAUGAGGCUCGAAUAUGUAUGUCAGGUCUAGAACUCAUGACGUAUCCAAACAUAGCAUGCAAGCACUACAGGGUCCCCAACCCGGUGUAAUAAGUAAAUGAGGUGAUGAAAGAAAAAGCUAUGUGCUCGUGUGAGGCUCAAAGGGCUAGCAACGGGUAACUCUAUAUGUGAGGGUGAUAAAGUAAAUAGGCUCAUGAAAUGAUGGCCACCCAUCCUUUGACCAAAACCUCGAACAUCGUGCUUUUGAGAUCUCACAUGGUCAAUACUAAAGACUGGCAUCCAUCCAACAUAGUCAUGACGACUCCUCUGAAAUCGUGCAAAAGGCUCCCACUGAUGCUCUGUGAUGAUCAUCAAUGUCGUCUGAAAAUCAACUCACUCUAUCAUCACAAGCCACUCACCAUCAUCUCAUAAAAUCACCAUGUCUAAUCAUCCCGACUCUCUGAAGUCAUGUGCAAUGGCUCAAAUCUGGAUGCUCCAUGAUAACCUCUCUAUCUCAACAAUAUCGUCAAACAAAUCAAGCCACUCUCUCAUCGUGAUCCAUCUAUCAUCAUGUAAAGCUCACCUCGGGUCUAACCAUCUCGGACUCUACCUGGUCAGAUCCAUGAAAUGAUGGAAAGGAUAGGCAAUGGUACUGUAGCAUGAUAAGGCGAAUCAAGGGUAGUAAAGGUCGUACGAUGGUACCAAGGGAUGGUGUCAUGUCAAGCUCAAAAUGGGUAGGUCAUCAAGUCCACAAAGUCAAGGUACGAAUAUGGAUAUGGUAUCGCUCUAAUCAAAAGGUGAUAUGAGGCACAGUCUCGAACUCCCUAGGUCGAUCUCCUGAUCCUAGGUCAAUAGACUCAAUAUCCUCCAUGAUAGGUCAGGCCAAAGUGAUCGUGAUGUAAGUGAAAGAUGUAUCAUAUUGAAAGUACAACACAUCAUAUGAAAUAUGGUCCCGUGAUGGCAAUCCUAAACUGGAAAUAUGACAGAAACUCUAAGGUCAUAAAGGUGUCCACUAUGAGAUGGCUACAAAUGUGACCAGAGAAUCUCCAUCAAUAAUCCGAGAUAAAGAGAGGUGUGAAAAACACGCUAUCACGAGAUCGGUACUCCAUCUAUAAACAUAUAUCCUUGAAUCAACCUUCAACUCGAGCUCCAUAAGAGAAAAAUAAUAAGGUGAUCAAGGCGAAUCUCUCGAAGACAGUGUGGAUGUGAAAAAUGCGCCUUUCACCUUUCUGUAAUGAAAAUAUGAGCAUCGAGUCGAAAAUUGAACCAAGGAUCAAACAAAUGAUGAGGUACUGAGCCCGUGAUAAGCAUACAGUGUAAAAAGAUGAUCAAUGAACAUAUCCCAAAGCAUCAUGUGAGUGAUAACAAAGUGAAGGGGUGUGUCGAGCCAAGAAAUGAGAAUGAAAACCCUAGGGAGAAAACAUGCUAAACUCGUCAAGUAAAAAGCAUAAUCUAGAGCGACGAGACAAAGGUGAUCCAAUCGAUACUCAAACUCAUACCGAUCUCCGAGCACUCUCAACUGGAGACUAAAAAGAGGGAACACUGGAUCCGAACUGUAACUAAAGAGGCUCUGAAGGCCCUCAGAUGCACCCACGUGUAGGGAGGGAGUCCUAAUCGAAGGAUCUACGGCUCAACCUACGAGAUCAAGGUGGCUCUAAAUGGAUAUGGGUGGACUUUAAAAAAAAUCCCUAGCAGAAGCGAUCAUACCCUCCAGCGGUACACAACCCUCUGCACGCCUAAAAAAAAGACGGGGCGCUUCCAUGCAAGGUGGACAUCGCAUCCACACAUGCACUACCUCGACAUCCUAGGGGGUUUCCUAUGGUGAAUCCUCUCAAACUCUCAACGCUCAAUAGUCAACUAGGGUGCAUAGUGAUCGGUGUGGGUGCAUCCGAAACCCUAAGAAGCUAAAGCAGAAGAUGAAACAUACUGGUCGCAUAAAUAUCCAUGAAACCUAGCUCGGGGCUAUACAGGUCUUCAAUGAUCGGACUCUAAUCGACAACAAUGCGCCGCUCGCCUCCAGAAUGCUCCCAAACAUCAGUAUAGCCCGUCGCUAGACCCUACUCUUAACUUCUAUCUCAGUCAGAGUACAAGCACACACAAGGCCUCACACUUGCAAAAGUGAGAACCGUAAUGAAGAAAGUGACUGAGACUAGAGAGUGAGAGAUAAGGGGAUAGAUGUGCGACCCACAUAAACAAGCGGCACGAAAUCACACAGAUGAGGGCAAUCAUGCAACACACAGUCAAACAAAACUCAGAUAUAUCAUCAAUGUACACACAAGAUAAGCGAGAAUACGACAAUCAGAUGGAUAGUGAUACAAAGACAACACGCUCAAAGAUGAUCAAAAUAAUAUACCAACAAGUGGAUCAGCAUGUCGAGUCGAAUGAUGUACAGUAGUGAGUGUAUGCACGUGAAGUGAUCAAAACAAUCAUGACAAAAUCAGGGUCAAUGUGCUAAGCAAAGCAAUAAGAUCAAUCAUCAAUGAUCCAGCAUGUCAAUGUCUCAAACAAAUAUAUCAAUGCAACACAGAAGAAAUCAUGGCAUCAGAAUCCUCAAUCAAUAUAAAUCAAUCAACACGAUCGACGUGUCAAAGUCUCAAGUGGAUAUAAAAUCCGAGCAUGCAUCAAAUAUCCUCAAUGUGCAAUCAAGAAAUGGGCAUCCACUGAUUGUCCAAUCGAAUGCCACGUUUGCUUCAUUCUAAGUUCAAGUUUGACCCUCUAAAUGAUCCCCAGUGGAGUCGCCAUUUUGUGGACCCCGCAUUUCGUGCUUGAUGCGUUUCCCACUCGAUGGCGAGCUCGAUUUUUAUUUUGAAAAAUUAAUUUUAUUUAUUGUUUGUUGAAAAAAAUGACUUGGAGUCGCCACUUAUUUUUGUUUUAUUUUUAAAGGGUAAACAAAAUAAGAAAGAAAAACCCUAAGUGUGACUCCUUAUUUUGGAAAAGGCGGUCUGUGAAAAACUGGAUCGGGUUCGGGGGUCAGGUUACUUAUUGGGAAGGUACGGUAAAGACCGUAGCACCCCUCUAAGUCCCUAAAAUCGGGUCUCUACUAAUAGAAUGAAGUUGACGUGGCAAUCAAUGAGGAAAUCAGCGGAUACUCAAAUCAAACUUGCACAUAUGAAAAUAAGAGUAUGCAUAGAGAAUAAUCAAAAUGAGAAUGAGUGCGUACCUGGACCUCUAGUGACAAAUGCGCUAUCAUGAAACAGGAUUAGUGAGCAAUGAACAAGAUAUAAUUAAGCGCAUAUCAAGAAAUAGAGUAAACCAAUCAUGCAUGGCAAAUAAAUCAAUCGAUCUGUCAAUCAAUCAUGAAGUCAAGUAUGUGGGGCCCCCACCAAAGCCCGUUUAUUUUGCAUGAAUUAAUUCCAUAAAUUCCAUUAGUCGGAAUUACGGAAUUUAAUUCUUGCUUAUUUUUACAACAUUUUAAAAGAUUAUGAAAGAUUUGAAAAUUGCUUACCGAAUAGAAAGUGGAAGCAAAUUUGAUUAAAAGUGAGACUCUUGGGUGAUCCUAAAAAUUCUAAGGAUGAAAGAGUGUGGAAUUGAAAUUAUUGUUUUAUUGAAAAAUGAGGAACUGGGAAAUUAUUAAAAAAAAUGAGAUUUGAAAAAUUGUUGUCAAAGUCAAAGAGGAUAAAAGGGAAGAUGUCACGUGACCAAAGGUGGCCAUGCAACUGAAUGCUCAUAUGCGCGGACCCAAGGAGGUCACUGGGGCUGCUUUGUCGGCGCACCAUCCUCUCUUAUAACUGCAAAUAGGCUCGGUAUGAAAGAAACUUGAGACAGGUCUGGUGACUCAAAAUAUGGAUCAGAACCCACAGAACCUUUGAUCACGAUCACCUAGGAUGUAACACGUCCCUCUCUCAAAGCAAAUCUUUGUCCAGCUUCAAGAGGAACAACAGAUAUCAACUCGAAAAACUACUGUAACAUCAUUCCCAGGCAUAACCAUCUUAACUUCUUCAAGCAAUUGAACCUUCCCAGUGGCAUCUGUAGUCCUCAGGUGGCUUUGAUUUAUCAGAAGAAUUGAAAGCCGAAGAUUUAGGCAUUGGAGGGGUCACAUGCAUUAGUUGCCUAGAUUGCUUAAAUGCCAAUUCCUCAAGCCGAUGUGUGUUAACAGGCAGCUGUGGUGUAGUGCAAGCCCAUGAUGGAGCCCGUGCCAAUGCUUCAGCCAUAUUAAGACCAACUGUAAUACUUGGAAGCCCAGGUGCCGGGGCAGAACGAUAUUUUGUUGAGCAGAUGAGGAUCCAAUGAGCAAAUUCUGAACAGCCAUGUUCAACCCAGGUGACGAAACCCUCCCAAGAUCCAAUUCGGUUCCAAGUGAAGAGAAAUCCUUAUCAAACACAGUCUUGUGGAUGGUUUCUCACUAAGCAAUCUCAUGGUUUACACUUUCUGCUUAUUUAUGAAGUUUGCUAAUCCUUUCCUUUCUUAUCCUCGAGACGACCUUCUUCCGAUCGAGCCUUCCUAUCCUCGGUGUGGCAUUUAUACGACAUAACCCAACUCACCUAUCAACCCAUAUCUGAAUUUGGCUGCGUCUUAGCAAGAUGCUUCACGGCGUCUUUCUCCAGCUGCAGCCACAACGUGUCAGCUGCCUCCACCCAAAACCUGAUAUGCUGAGAAGUUUCCGUCUAUUAUUGGAUUCGGUAUCUGAUUCCUCAGUCGCUUUCAUUCUCUCAAUCCCUUCCAUGCAUGCAUGAGGGUUGGUGUUAUGUGGUGUAAGGAGAGAAACGGGUAUGGGAUGUGAUCAAAUGGGUGUAUGUGUGAGGGUAUGAAAUAUAGGUGUGGAGACGGGUAUUAUAGGCAAAAGAGGUGGCCAUGCACAUGAGAUGAGUGUGAAGCACGGCCACGGGUAGUGAGAGAAAAUGGGUGGUUAUGUGUUAAGUAUGAGUGGUGAUGAAAUGUGUAUGAAGGUUAGAACAAUGGGUUUGGAGGAUGGAGAUAGGAGUGAGUGGAGUGGGUGGUUGGACGAGUAGUAAGGCUUAGAGAGAUGGUAGUGGGUUUGGAAUAGGUGCAGGGGAAGAUAAUGAAUGAAGAUGAAUGAAGAGAGCGUGAGAUAGAAGAUGGAUGUGAUGGACAAGAAGGUGGCCACGUGCCUGGAGCUUCAUGUAUAUGGGUAUGAAAGAGUUUGAAGAGAGAGAAAAGGUGGUAAUGUGGAAUGGGUUUGGUGGGUGCAAGCAUGGGGCAUGAAGAUGAGGGUUAGUAUGGAAGUGUGGGUAUAAUGAGCGAAUGAGAGAGAUGAGAUGGGUGCAUGGUGGUGUAGAAAGAAAGGUGAUCAUACAAAUGGGCAUAGGUAUGGAGGUAUAAUGGGUAUAGGGUCAUGGGUAUGCUAAAUGGGCAAAAAGGGUAUAAGCCCGGAAUUAAUGGAGUAGGUAGUGGGAGAUAAUAGGAAAUGGGUGUUCAUGGGGAUCCUCUGCGUACAUGGUGGGAAAGGAAACAGUGAAGAGUACCCACAACCAACUGAACUUUCAUUAUUCCUCUCAUUUUAA